rnacentral:lncRNA from 1 species
GCAAACAUAAAAACGAUCUUGUGUGGCAUCCGAGUGACGUGCAUAAUCAUUAGGAUUUAGGACCCUUUCUUUUUCUUUGUUCUCCUUCUUUACUCGAACCCUUCUUUAGCGAAACUAAACUGCAAUAAUCAAGAACAUUAAAUAAGAAAAAAUAGAUAAAACAUAGAGUAAGGCAACUGGAGGACAUUCCAAGUCCCUUGUGAUAUGAUGUGAUAUAUAUAUAUGUAUAGAAUAUUGGAAAAUAAAAAAAUUUGGCUUUCAACCCUGAUUUAUCACAGUUUCAGAUUUCUACGAUUCAAACUUUUUCCUAGAGAACAAAACUCUGAAUAUUCUCUGACCAAGUUGGAAGAUGAAAGAAACCAGUUAUUCUUUCGAUGUACUCAUAUCAAUUAACAUAAUAUCUUACCAACUUGAAAAUUAAUGAAUAAAAAGAUGGAAAACCAACCAUUGUAUCUAACCAAUAGCUCUCAUAUGUUUCUCCUGAAACAGUAUCCCUUGGUAUCAAAAUGUGGCUACAUCAGACAGCUGGAACUUCAGCCUUCAAUCUCAAAA